UACCUCAUUGUUAUUGACCCAGCCAGGAAUAGUGACCAACACCAUGGAAAGUACAGGGCAAGCAGUAUGUUGUGCAAGUGUGAUGUCCUUAAGGAUGGCAGUGACGCUGACUGUUGUUCUACAGGUGACCUGGCUAAGGUUCAACAUACUGUCUACACUGCUACUUCUGGGGCCUGGACUGCACUCUACAACAAGUUGGAUGUCAUGCAUGUCAAGCUUGCUUUUGUCCAUUGGCAAGUGAGCACUUUGUCACUCAAGAAAUUGUUUGGAAUUCUGUUGUCCAGGUUGAGCUCAUGUGUUGAAGAAUGUUUUGAAGAAACCUUUAGUAAAGAGAACAAUCUAGUUUGAUGACUUGUGUCCGACUAGUUUCACGGACAGUGAUGUUGUGCUGUGAGAUUGACUGCAGACUAGGAGGAAAUUGUUGUCGACUGCUGCCCAGGCUGAGGUCACGUGUUAAAGAAAUUGAUCUGUGGUUUGUAAAAUCUUUGAAGAAAUUGUUGGUGGCUGCUGUCUUGGUUGAGGUCAUGUGUUACAAAGUAUUAUGUAAUUAUUAUUAAUAAAAAUGUUUUGUCAAAUCAUUU
rnacentral:sRNA from 1 species